rnacentral:tRNA from 1 species
GCACCCGUAGCUCAGAUGGAUAGAGUAUCUGACUUCGAAUCAGAGGGUCACAAGUUCGAAUCUUGUCGGGUGUACCA